UACGUAGGGCGCAAGCGUUAUCCGGAAUUAUUGGGCGUAAAGAGCUCGUAGGCGGUUUGUUGCGUCUAUCGUGAAAACCUGCGGCUUAACUGUGGGCUUGCGGUGGAUACGGGCAGACUUGAGUUCGGUAGGGGAGACUGGAAUUCCUGGUGUAGCGGUGAAAUGCGCAGAUAUCAGGAGGAACACCGGUGGCGAAGGCGGGUCUCUGGGCCGAUACUGACGCUGAGGAGCGAAAGCGUGGGAGCGAACAGG
rnacentral:rRNA from 1 species